UACGGAGGAUGCGAGCGUUAUCCGGAUUUAUUGGGUUUAAAGGGUGCGUAGGCGGACUGUCAAGUCAGCGGUAAAAUUGAGAGGCUCAACCUCUUCCCGCCGUUGAAACUGGUGGUCUUGAGUGGAUGAGAAGUACGCGGAAUGCGUGGUGUAGCGGUGAAAUGCAUAGAUAUCACGCAGAACUCCGAUUGCGAAGGCAGCGUACCGGCAUCCAACUGACGCUGAGGCACGAAAGCGUGGGGAGCAAUUAGG
rnacentral:rRNA from 1 species